ACUCUCCCGGAGAACGCUCUUCCAUUCUGUGGGAACACUUUUUACAUAUCAAAUUCAUGUUCCAUAAAAAAGGUUAGUAUUCUCGAUAAAAUCACCUCUCGGCUCACUCGACAGGAGGAAAAACCUUUGUGCGUUAUAUCCGCAAGCUCAAGCUCUCCUGCGAUUCUUUGAACACAACCGUACUCCUUUGUUCCUCCCUCGCCUGCAACCACCUCAAGAACCGUUCAAGCUCGCUUGUGAAUCUCUGUGCUCUCCGUGUGCAAACGAAAGUAGCAGGUUCAGCGAACUUUCUUGGAUCUCCCCAAGUUUUUGGCUUGAUUUGACUAUUUGGUGGCACUUUUAGAAGAAGGAAUGGCAACUCUUGCUGAUUCAUUCCUGGCAGACCUUGACGAGUUAUCUGACAAUGAAGCUGAUAUUAUUGAUGAGGAUGUCGGUGAUGAGGAAGGCAUGGAAGAAGAUGUUGAUGGUGACAUGCCUGACAUUGAAUCUCUUAAUUAUGAUGAUCUAGAUAGUGUUUCAAAAUUACAAAAGACACAGCGUUACAUUGAUAUCAUGCAGAAAGUUGAAAAUGCGCUUGAGAAAGGUUCUGAUAACCCUAGCCAGGGCAUAGUUUUGGAAGAUGAUCCUGAAUAUCAACUGAUAGUUGACUGUAAUGCAUUGUUGGUUGACAUGGAGAAUGAAAUCAUUAUUAUUCACAAUUUUAUUCGUGACAAAUAUCGCCUGAAGUUUCCAGAGCUUGAAUCUCUUGUACAUCACCCAAUUGACUAUGCUCGAGUUGUAAAGAAAAUUGGGAAUGAAGUGGAUUUAACCCUUGUUGAUCUUGAAGGUCUUUUACCAUCAGCUAUCAUUAUGGUGGUUUCUGUUACAGCAUCAACUACGAGUGGGAAGCCACUUCCAGAGGAGAACCUUCAAAGGACAGUUGAUGCAUGUGAUCGUGCUCUUGCUCUUGAUUCAGCGAAGAAAAAGGUCCUUGAUUUUGUUGAGAGUAGAAUGGGAUACAUUGCACCGAAUCUUUCUGCUAUUGUUGGGAGUGCUGUUGCAGCAAAACUCAUGGGGACUGCUGGUGGUCUGUCUGCGUUAGCCAAGAUGCCAGCUUGUAACGUUCAGCUUCUUGGUGCCAAGAGGAAGAAUCUAGCAGGGUUUUCAACUGCAACAUCCCAAUUUCGCGUUGGCUAUCUUGAGCAAACAGAGAUAUUUCAAAGCACACCUCCUUCUUUGAGGAUGCGUGCCUGCCGACUUUUGGCUGCAAAAUCCACACUAGCAUCACGAGUUGAUUCAACACGAGGUGAUCCAACUGGAAAAACUGGAAGGACAUUAAGGGACGAAAUCCGUAAGAAGAUUGAGAAAUGGCAAGAGCCACCUCCUGCAAAGCAACCAAAACCUCUCCCUGUUCCAGAUUCUGAUCCCAAAAAGAAGAGGGGUGGUCGUAGGCUCCGGAAGAUGAAGGAAAGGUAUGCAAUUACAGAUAUGAGGAAGCUGGCAAAUAGGAUGCAAUUUGGAGUACCCGAAGAAAGCUCUUUGGGUGAUGGACUGGGAGAAGGAUAUGGUAUGCUUGGUCAGGCUGGAAGUGGGAAGUUACGUGUAGCUGUUGGUCAGAGCAAACUUGCUACCAAGGUUGCAAAGAAGUUCAAAGAAAAGCAAUACGGCAGCAGUGGUGCCACUUCAGGGUUGACUUCUAGUUUGGCAUUUACACCUGUGCAGGGAAUCGAGCUCACAAAUCCACAGGCAUUAAAUCAGCUGGGUAGUGGUACUCAAAGUACCUACUUCUCAGAAGUAGGAACUUUCUCAAAGAUCAAGAGGACUUGAACCACCUUAAAGGUUGCCUUUGUACAGUUGGUCAUUUUGACCCUUAUAAGUAAGUGAAAUUUGAGGACAGUGCAAAUUGACAAAACGUCCAAGUUAAGUAAAGUUCCUUUCUGAUUGUGUGUUUUACUAUUAGCUUCCAUUUCGAUGGAAGUUCCAAAUGCAGGAUUUUGCUAUGAAGACUGAUUGUCAGCCAAAUGUAACUCAUUGUUUAUUUCAAUUUAGAUUGAAGAGAGUGGAUUCUUUGUCUGAGGAACAAAUGGGAUGGAAGACCACUAUGUUUUGCUGGAGCCUGUGGACUGCUAGACCUGGGACAUCAGAGUCAUGAACUCUUAUCAAUAUUUAACAUCAAGAGGACAUAUUAACCCUGAGAAGGAUCAUGCUUGUUAAGGUGCCCAUUUCUGCAGACCAUCUAGAUAAAGCCUGGAGUUAUGAGUUCUUCAGCUAGAUGGUGCUCUGUGCUGUUGUGUGUGGAAACUCUUUUAUGUUUGACGGAAAUCUAACAGAUCUCAACUCGGUAAUUUUGGGAUACAGUAGGGAGGGCCACUUCUCACAUUAGAGUACUUGAUGCUCUUUGCUGCCACCACUUGUUGCAAGAUUUGUCUCGUCUCUUUUCAAGUAAAUGAACUUGCGAUGUGCCGGGGGCUGGCACAGUUUGAUUCAGUCUCCGGAUCUGCUUGUUUACAAAUAUUUUAAGGGUAAAAACAUGAGUUAUUCUAUUAUUAGUGUGCUAUAAGAUAGUUGCAAUUUAUUGUUUAAAAACCUUAGAUGCAAAUUGAAAUAAAUGUGCAUCUUGAUCAAUUUGAUACGGUAUCCUUAAAAGCCUUACUUUCUCGAAGCCGCAGGUUUCAUGUAAAGUCCCAUUGAGCAACUUGCUGAGAUGAUCUCUGUUAUUAUUUUUAAUACUUCUUUUGUUUCA